UGUUUUUCGUUCUCAGAGUUGACGGCGGGAUGAUAGGAAUUAUGGGGUCCCCACCUUCUCCUAUCCCCUCCUGUACGAUAAAUUUUUGGUGGUUAGCUUCUGGUCAAUGACGGGUCUCAUCUUCUGCAUCUUGCUGAUUUAACUACAGGAACGGCGCCGUAUAAGGUCUAAGACGCAGAAAACGAGGUGUCGUUCUGAGAGAAAUUUGUUCCACUGCCUAAUGCUGUUUCUCCGUAAAUCAAGCUACUCUCCUUCUCUCCCUCCUUCUUGUUGCUGCUUCAAUUUGGUAAAGUGCCCUUUGAGGCGAUAGAGAGUAAUGAACGACCUCUCCAGUGCGGUGCUGAGAGAGCAGAAUAGCGAGAACUGCAAGCCAAUACCCAGAGUAGCCGUCUUCAUUUUAGUGGCUCUAUUCGCCAUUGGACUUUCGGUUUCGAUUUUCAUACUGAUUGUUGUCCAUAAUGCCAUCUUCUUUCUCUCUUUCCUGCUUAUCUCUGGCUUGGUUAUAUCUUUCAUAGCUUGGAACAGAGUUAAUUGGAGGCAUAAAGCUGCAGUUUUUCGCUUUCUUCGCUCCUUCCCUGACUCUGACCUUGCUUCUGCACGUGACGGUCAGCUCGUUAAAAUCACUGGGCUUGCUUCCUGUGGGAGUGUUUCCUUGGAAUCUUCAUAUGAAAGGGCUACUAGAUGUAUCUAUGCAUCUACACUUUUGUAUGAAUAUGGAGGAUUUGGACUCAAGCCAAAAGAUGCUAAUACAUCAUGCUUCCAGUGGAGUUUAACAUACUGUGAGAGAUAUUCCACCGACUUCUACAUAACGGAUAGAAAAUCUGGUAUCAGAGCUUUGGUGAAAGCUGGUCCUGGUUGUAAAGUUGUUCCCCUGAUUGUUGAGAGCAAACUAGUCGCUACUACAAGGCAAUGCAGAAUUCUGUCUCCUCACUUGAGGAAAUGGUUGCAAGACAGAAACCUCUCAGUUGAAGCCCGUCUACUGCGGUUAGAAGAAGGGUAUAUACAAGGAGGUAGCAUUGUGACUGUAAUUGGAGUGCUUCACAGAAAUGAUGACAUUUUGAUGAUUGUUCAACCACAAGAGCUUCUCUCUACAGGAUGCUUGUGGACAAAGCUUAUUCUUCCAAUUGAUAUUGAUGGACUGGUGGUAGGACUCUCUAAUCUGAGUGGCCCCAUCAGUAACCCAGAUUUCAGGCAACACACACAACAAUAAUGUUAACCUAUUAGACAAGUAUUAAGGAUUCUGAUUCAUAAAAUUGAUUCCUUCUAAAAAGACUACAAAAUCGAAACGUAUAUCAACAAAUGGGCCUAAUACGGCCCAUUUUCUGUUUUCAACAGCUCAAUCAAGCUCGCCAAAGAGGCUUUUAAUCGGCCCAAUCAACCUCCGGCAUACAAGAUAGUAUACAACAUCUCCCUUCUGAAGGAGCAAUCCGAACUCUGUUUCGAUUUGAAUUUUACAAUAAUAUAUUGCUAAUAUUUAUGA